UGGGGAAUAUUGGACAAUGGGGGAAACCCUGAUCCAGCGACGCCGCGUGAAUGAUGAAGGCCUUAGGGUUGUAAAGUUCUUUCGUCCACGAGGAUGAUGACAGUAGUGGAAGAAGAAGCUCCGGCUAACUCCGUGCCAGCAGCCGCGGUAAUACGGAGGGGGCUAGCGUUGCUCGGAAUUACUGGGCGUAAAGCGCACGUAGGCGGCGAUGCAAGUUAGGUGUGAAAGGCCUGGGCUUAACCCAGGGACUGCACUUGAUACUGCAUUGCUAGAGUCCAAGAGAGGGUAGUGGAAUUCCCAGUGUAGAGGUGAAAUUCGUAGAUAUUGGGAAGAACACCAGUGGCGAAGGCGGCUACCUGGCUUGGUACUGACGCUCAGGUGCGAAAGCGUGGGGAGCAAACAGG
rnacentral:rRNA from 1 species